GCUCCCUUCGUCUAGUGGUCAGGACGCCCGCCUUUCACGCAGGAAACAGGGGUUCAAUUCCCCUAGGGAGCGCCA
rnacentral:tRNA from 1 species